rnacentral:rRNA from 1 species
GAUGAACGCUGGCGGCGUGCCUAAUACAUGCAAGUCGAGCGAACGGACGAGAAGCUUGCUUCUCUGAUGUUAGCGGCGGACGGGUGAGUAACACGUGGAUAACCUACCUAUAAGACUGGGAUAACUUCGGGAAACCGGAGCUAAUACCGGAUGAUAUUUUGAACCGCAUGGUUCAAAAGUGAAAGACGGUCUUGCUGUCACUUAUAGAUGGAUCCGCGCUGCAUUAGCUAGUUGGUAAGGUAACGGCUUACCAAGGCAACGAUGCAUAGCCGACCUGAGAGGGUGAUCGGCCACACUGGAACUGAGACACGGUCCAGACUCCUACGGGAGGCAGCAGUAGGGAAUCUUCCGAAAUGGGCGAAAGCCUGACGGAGCAACGCCGCGUGAGUGAUGAAGGUCUGCGGAUCGUAAAACUCUGUUAUUAGGAAGAACAUAUGUGUAAGUAACUGUGCACAUCUUGACGGUACCUAAUCAGAAAGCCACGGCUAACUACGUG